CGCCAGACUCCUACGGGAGGCAGCAGUGGGGAAUAUUGCACAAUGGGGGAAACCCUGAUGCAGCGACGCCGCGUGAGUGAAGAAGUAUUUCGAUAUGUAAAGCUCUAUCAGCAGGGAAGAAAAUGACGGUACCUGACUAAGAAGCCCCGGCUAACUACGUGCCGGCAGCCGCGGUAAUACGUAGGGGGCAAGCGUUAUCCGGAUUUACUGGGUGUAAAGGGAGCGUAGACGGCAUGGCAAGUCAGAUGUGAAAGCCCGGGGCUCAACCCCGGGACUGCAUUUGAAACUGUCAGGCUGGAGUGCAGGAGAGGUAAGUGGAAUUCCUAGUGUAGCGGUGAAAUGCGUAGAUAUUAGGAGGAACACCAGUGGCGAAGGCGGCUUACUGGACUGUAACUGACGUUGAGGCUCGAAAGCGUGGGGAGCAAACAGGAUUAGAUACCCGAGUA
rnacentral:rRNA from 1 species